rnacentral:misc_RNA from 1 species
UUUAUAAACAAAUAAACAUACAUACCAUAAACAGUAUUUUUUUUAGUACCUAUUGUUAAUUUCGGAGUGUAAGUAAAAUUAUUAUCUAAAAUCUAAAUACAUAAAACGUUGUUAAAAUUAAAUGAAAUGGAAGUAAAACAAGAAUAUGGUGAAGACACCUGUAAAGCAGAAAUAUAUUCCAAUAAUGCAGAUGAUGAUGCUCUUUUAAAUACCUUUAAAUGUGGAAUUAAAGAGGAACCCAAUAGAGAAAGUACACAUGGCACUUUUGAUUAUUUAGACUUAAAAGAAUUCCCUAUAAAGACUAAAACCAAAGAUGAAAGUGAACUUUUGCAAUUUGAAGAAAAACAAAGAAAGGAAAAGGAUAGCAGAAUAAAAGCUGAAAUUAAGGAAGACUUUGAUGAAGGUAAUCCAGCAGAUAUAGAGAGUCAGCUAUCGACAUCACUUGAUCUGGGAGUCUUUGAACAUGAGUAUACCUCAGGCUUAUCUCAGAUGAAGCUGGUGGAAUUGGAAGUUAUGAAAAGGAUUCCUGAAGAUUCAAAUAAUAAAAAACAAAUAAGUGUAAACCCUGAAGAAACAGCAUUAAAAAAUUCUAUUUAUGCUAAAGAUUUACCUGACAAACAGAAUUUAAAGCAGCAUACGGAAGGUUGGAUUGGAGAACGUCACGAAUGUGAAACGUGUUUUAAGCAGUUUAAUCAAGCACGUAAUUUGGAAAGACAUUGUUUAAAAGUGCACAAUGGAGAAAGAUCGCAUAAGUGUGACAUUUGUUCUAAGGAAUUUACUACAGCAGGUACUUUGAAAAGGCAUAUGAGAGUGCACACUGGGGAAAAACCUUAUAACUGUGAAAUUUGUUUCAAGCAGUAUUCUUAUUCAAUCGAUUUAAAAAGACAUUUAAUAAGACACACUGGCGAGAAGCCUUAUAAGUGUGAACUUUGUUUUAAACAAUUUAGUGAUUCGCGUUAUUUGAAAACACAUGUAAGAGUGCACGAUGAAGAAAAACCUCACAAGUGUGAAAUUUGUUUAAAGCAAUUUAAUAAAGCAGGUACUUUGAAACAACAUACGAUAACGCACACUACAGAAACCGCUUUUAAGUGUGACAUUUGCUUUAAGACAUUUACUACGGCAGGUAAAUUGAAAAUACAUUUGAGGGUACACACUGGAGAAAAGCCUUACAAGUGUGAUAUUUGUUUAAAACAGUUUUCUUAUAAGAAUUCUUUGGAUAUACAUAAAACAGGUCACACUGGUGAAAAACCUUACAAGUGUGAAAUUUGUUCUAAGCAAUUUACUCAGGAAGGAAGUUUAAAAAUACAUUUAAGGAUACACACUGGAGAAAAGCCUUACAAGUGUGAUAUUUGUUUAAAACAGUUUUCUUAUAAGAAUUCUAUGGAUAUACAUAAAACAGGUCACACUGGUGAAAAACCUUACAAGUGUGAAAUUUGUUUUAAGCAAUUUGGUCGUAAUGGACAUUUGAAAGAGCAUUGGAGAGUGCACACUGGUGAAAAACCUUACAAGUGUGAAAUUUGUUCUAAGCAAUUUAGUGCCACGGGUAGUUUGAAAAGACACUUAAUAAGACACACUGGCGAGAAGCCUUAUAAGUGUGAAAUUUGUUUUAAACAGUUUCGUGAUUCACAUUAUUUGAAAAGACAUUCAUGGAUACACACUGGGUAAAAGCCAUACAAGUGUGAAGAUUGUUUUAAUCCAUUUAGUGAAGCAGAUACAGUGGAACCUGGGGCCAGUCAGUCAGUAGCCAUGGCAGGGGAAGCACGUUCAAAUAACACUGCCGAUAUCAGUAGUAAUAUAGUUUGCAGAAAAUGUAAAUCUAAAGUUGUUUCACCGGUAAAGUGUAUAUGUGAUAGCUGUUAUCAUCCCACGUGUGCCAAAAAACUGGAGUUACAAAUUUUUGACAAAGUUUUUACUAAAUGUUGUGAAAAAACCGAAGAUAAAGCAAACAGCGACUGUGAUGACAAAUUUUUCGAUGCCAUCGAAAACUUAGCUGCGUCGACAGAAAAUAAGGUAGAUAUACACAUCUUUAAAUAUAUUAUCAAACAAAAAGAUCUCUUAAUAUCAGAACUAAAGGAAAAAAUAUUCCUAUUAAAUACACAAAUUGACUCAUUGAAACAAUUAGAAACAAAACAAGUUCCGGAAAAAACUGACUAUUCUUUAUUUAAAAAAUCUAAACACAAAGCUGAUAACAAUAAACAAGUCUUCAAUUCACCAGAGUCAACAAUAGGCCAGGAGAAAUAUAAGGAAAACAAUUCAAUUAGCGCUAAAGAUAUCAGCGAAGCCAUAAACCGAGCGCAAAAUAUAAUACCUGCAUCUAGUCGAACCGAAAAGACUGGAGAUGCCAACAUGCAAAUAAGCAGUAACAUUCCUACGGAUUGGCAGAAAGUGACUUACAAAAAAAGAACACCCAAAAAAAACUUAUUAGUGGGUAACUGUUCUGGAAAUUCGAAUGUAGAAGGAGUGGAUCAAACAGUUGCUUUAUACGUAUUUAAUCUGAAACCGCAAUCAUCUGCAGAAGACCUUCAAUAAUUUUUAUCAAAAAACCUGCCAGAAGCCAGCUGCUCAGCUCUUCCAUCUCGUCGUCCUGAUAUAUAUUCUUCUUUCAAGAAAAUUGAUUUGGCCAAACAAAGCCUGUAUACGAAAUUUUUUUCAAUUGAGGAAAAAGAAAGUGCAAGUCGAGUAGAAGUAUCUAUCGACAAUGAAACAAAACAUACGUCAAUUUUUAAAAUUAUAUAGUUAAAUACAGCGUCCAUUAGAAACAAACUUGAAAGGUUGGAAAUUCUGCUUGACCAAGAAAAUCCUGUUGUCGUCAGUAUUGCGGAGCACUGGUGUAAGCAGGAUGAAAUGUCUCUAAUGGUAACUCCGGGUUACGAUCUUGUAACCAGUUAUUGUCGACCUAUCCAAUAGCAUGGCGGAUCGGUUCUGUAUGUGAAAUGUAGGUAUGAAUAUCAGAUCAUCAAUGUGUGCCAGUUCGCUGUGGAGAUGCAUUAUGAGUGCAGUGCGGUAAAAAUAAUGUUUUGUGAAAGAAAAGUUGCAGUCAUCAGUAUCUACAUGCCUCCCAGUGGAGACUUUUAUUUGUUUUUGAAGCAGUUUUCCUAUACGAUUGAACUCUGUAAUAGAUUGAAGAUAUGAAAUCAAUGAAGCUAUUUCGGAGGAACGUGUUAUUAAUCUAGGAGUUCCACAGGGCUCUGUAUUAGGACCCCUGAUUUUUUUGUUGUUUAUUAACGAUGCAUCUAACCAGUUUGAUGUUUUGGACCUGACGUUAUUUGCAGAUGAUACUUCUCUUGUGGUAUCAGCACAGACCUAUGAGAAAUUGGCAUCUACUUGCAAUAGUUUUUUAGCUCGAUUAAAUGACUGGUGUCGAUCUAAUAACCUAAUUUUAAAUGUAGACAAAACAAAAGUAAUAUAUUUUAAUAACUUAAAUUCUGUAAAUCCUGUACUACACUUAAGUUUUAACAAUGUACUACUGGAUUCCUCAAAUCAUACAAAAUUUUUAGGUGUCCAUCUCGACUCAAAGUUAAAAUGGUCAGUUCACAUAGACAUGCUCAGUAAGUCCCUUAAUAUAAUAAGUCGUACUAUGCAUUAUCCCGUAUUAAAAAUAUGCCCAUCUCUGCGCUGUUAAAUGUAUACUACAGCCUUGUUUAUAGUAGACUUUGUUACAACAUAGUUUUAUGGGGGAAUGCAGUCAACAGUGACAGAAUAUUUAUAACGCAAAAACGUAUAAUACGAAAAAUGUUUGGAAUUAGACAUCUUGAGAGCUGUAAGCCCAUAUUUAUUAGGAAUAAUAUUUUAAGUUUUCCAUGUAU